CCUACGGGGGGCAGCAGUAGGGAAUCUUCCACAAUGGGCGAAAGCCUGAUGGAGCAACGCCGCGUGGGUGAAGAAGGUCUUCGGAUCGUAAAACCCUGUUGUUAGAGAAGAAAGUGCGUGCGAGUAACUGUUCACGUUUCGACGGUAUCUAACCAGAAAGCCACGGCUAACUACGUGCCAGCAGCCGCGGUAAUACGUAGGUGGCAAGCGUUAUCCGGAUUUAUUGGGCGUAAAGGUCACGCAGGCGGUCUUUUACGUCUGAUGUGAAAGCCUUCGGCUUAACCGGAGUAGUGCAUUGGAAGCUGGGGGACUGGAGUGCAGAAGAGGAGAGUGGAACUCCAUGUGUAGCGGUGAAAUGCGUAGAUAUAUGGAAGAACACCAGUGGCGAAAGCGGCUCUCUGGUCUGUAACUGACGCUGAGGUUCGAAAGCGUGGGUAGCAAACAGGAUUAGAUACCCGUGUAGUC
rnacentral:rRNA from 1 species